UGGACAAUGGGGGCAACCCUGAUCAGCACGCCGCGUGAUGAGAAGGCCUUAGGGUUGUAAAGUUCUUUUAUUUGGGAGCAAAGUUGUAUGAGAAUAUCAUAUGAUGCUGAGAGUACCAAAGGAAUAAGCACCGGCUAACUACGUGCCAGCAGCCGCGGUAAUACGUAGGGUGCGAGCGUUAAUCGGAAUAACUGGGCGUAAAGGGUGCGUAGGC
rnacentral:rRNA from 1 species